rnacentral:misc_RNA from 1 species
GAUGAAGAACGUAGCGAAAUGCGAUACUUGGUGUGAAUUGCAGAAUCCCGUGAACCAUCGAGUUUUUGAACGCAAGUUGCGCCUCAAGCCAUUAGGUUGAGGGCACGUCUGCCUGGGCGUCACAUAUCGUUGCCUGAUGCCAGUUUCCUCGUGAUGGGUGACUGUGCAGGGCGAAUGAUGGCUUCCCGUGAGCAUUGUUGCCUCAUGGUUGGUUGAAAAUUGAGUCCUUGGUAGGGAGCGCCGUGAUAGAUGGUGGUUGAGUGACGAACGAGACCCAAUCAUGUGAGACCCCUACCGAAUUUGGCCUUCAUGACCCACAUGCGUCUUUGGAACGCUCAUGACGAGACCUCAGGUCAGGCGGGGCUACCCGCUGAGUUUAAGCAUAUCAAUAAGCGGAGGA